CAUUGUCAAUGAUGAAGUUUACAUCUUAACCUACAUUGUUUGAUCUUAUGUGAGAAAAAAAACACUGUUAACUGAGACAAUG